GACGAACGCUGGCGGCGUGCUUAACACAUGCCAGUCGAACGGAAAGGCCCUGCUUGCAGGGUACUCGAGUGGCGAACGGGUGAGUAACACGUGGGUGAUCUGCCCUGCACUUCGGGAUAAGCCUGGGAAACUGGGUCUAAUACCGGAUAGGAGCCAUUUUUAGUGCGAUGGUUGGAAAGUUUUUUCGGUGUAGGAUGAGCUCGCGGCCUAUCAGCUUGUUGGUGGGGUAAUGGCCUACCAAGGCGGCGACGGGUAGCCGGCCUGAGAGGGUGGACGGCCACACUGGGACUGAGAUACGGCCCAGACUCCUACGGGAGGCAGCAGGGGGGAAUAUUGCACAAUGGGCGCAAGCCUGAUGCAGCGACGCCGCGGGGGGGAGGACGGCCUUCGGGUUGUAAACUCCUUUCGCUAGGGACGAAGCUUUUUGUGACGGUACCUAGAGAAGAAGCACCGGCUAACUACGUG
rnacentral:rRNA from 1 species